AUCAGCCAAAGAGAGUAAUAGCCUCGUAUUUAAAAUAGUCUUUGUACCUAGCAGUAUCCUGAGUACGGCGGGACACGUGAAAUCCCGUCGGAAUCUGGGAGGACCAUCUCCCAACCCUAAAUACUCCCUAGUGACCGAUAGUGAACCAGUACCGUGAGGGAAAGGUGAAAAGCACCCCGGGAGGGGAGUGAAAUAGAACCUGAAACCGUGUGCCUACAACAAGUUCGAGCCCGUUAAUGGGUGAGAGCGUGCCUUUUGUAGAAUGAACCGGCGAGUUACGUUAUGAUGCGAGGUUAAGUUGAAGAGACGGAGCCGUAGGGAAACCGAGUCUGAACAGGGCGAAUUAGUAUCAUGACGUAGACCCGAAACCAUGUGACCUACCCAUGAGCAGGUUGAAGGUGCGGUAAGACGCACUGGAGGACCGAACCAGGGCACGUUGAAAAGUGCUUGGAUGACUUGUGGGUAGCGGAGAAAUUCCAAACGAACUUGGAGAUAGCUGGUUCUCUCCGAAAUAGCUUUAGGGCUAGCGUCGACAUUAGAGAUUCUUGGAGGUAGAGCACUGUUUGGGUGAGGGGUCCAUCCCGGAUUACCAAUCUCAGAUAAACUCCGAAUGCCAAUGAAUUAUGGUCGGCAGUCAGACUGCGAGUGCUAAGAUCCGUAGUCGAAAGGGAAACAGCCCAGACCACCAGCUAAGGUCCCAAAAUAAUUGUUAAGUGGAAAAGGAUGUGGGGUUGCACAGACAACUAGGAUGUUAGCUUAGAAGCAGCUAUUCAUUCAAAGAGUGCGUAAUAGCUCACUAGUCGAGUGACCCUGCGCCGAAAAUGUACCGGGGCUAAAACAAUUUACCGAAGCUGUGGAUACCUUUAUAGGUAUGGUAGGAGAGCGUUCUAUGUGUGAUGAAGGUAUACCGUGAGGAGUGCUGGAACGCAUAGAAGUGAGAAUGCCGGUAUGAGUAGCGAAAGACAGGUGAGAAUCCUGUCCACCGUAAGACUAAGGUUUCCAGGGGAAGGCUCGUCCGCCCUGGGUUAGUCGGGACCUAAGGAGAGACCGAAAGGUGUAUCCGAUGGACAACAGGUUGAUAUUCCUGUACUAGAGUAUGUAGUGAUGGAGGGACGCAGUAGGCUAACUAAAGCAGACGAUUGGAAGAGUCUGUCUAAGCAGUGAGGUGUGAAUUGAGUCAAAUGCUUAAUUCUAUAACAUUGAGCUGUGAUGGGGAGCGAAGUUUAGUAGCGAAGUUAGUGACGUCACACUGCCAAGAAAAGCUUCUAGCGUUUAAACAUACUCUACCCGUACCGCAAACCGACACAGGUAGUCGAGGCGAGUAGCCUCAGGUGAGCGAGAGAACUCUCGUUAAGGAACUCGGCAAAAUGACCCCGUAACUUCGGGAGAAGGGGUGCUGACUUUAGGUCAGCCGCAGUGAAUAGGCCCAAGCAACUGUUUAUCAAAAACACAGCUCUCUGCUAAAUCGUAAGAUGAUGUAUAGGGGGUGACGCCUGCCCGGUGCUGGAAGGUUAAGAGGAGUGCUUAGCGUAAGCGAAGGUAUGAAUUGAAGCCCCAGUAAACGGCGGCCGUAACUAUAACGGUCCUAAGGUAGCGAAAUUCCUUGUCGGGUAAGUUCCGACCCGCACGAAAGGCGUAAUGAUUUGGGCACUGUCUCAACGAGAGACUCGGUGAAAUUUUAGUACCUGUGAAGAUGCAGGUUACCCGCGACAGGACGGAAAGACCCCAUGGAGCUUUACUGCAGUUUGAUAUUGAGUGUCUGUACCACAUGUACAGGAUAGGUAGGAGUCUAAGAGAUCGGGACGCCAGUUUCGAAGGAGACGCUGUUGGGAUACUACCCUUGUGUUAUGGCCACUCUAACCCAGAUAGGUGAUCCCUAUCGGAGACAGUGUCUGACGGGCAGUUUGACUGGGGCGGUCGCCUCCUAAAAGGUAACGGAGGCGCCCAAAGGUUCCCUCAGAAUGGUUGGAAAUCAUUCGCAGAGUGUAAAGGUAUAAGGGAGCUUGACUGCGAGAGCUACAACUCGAGCAGGGACGAAAGUCGGGCUUAGUGAUCCGGUGGUUCCGUAUGGAAGGGCCAUCGCUCAACGGAUAAAAGCUACCCUGGGGAUAACAGGCUUAUCUCCCCCAAGAGUUCACAUCGACGGGGAGGUUUGGCACCUCGAUGUCGGCUCGUCGCAUCCUGGGGCUGUAGUCGGUCCCAAGGGUUGGGCUGUUCGCCCAUUAAAGCGGCACGCGAGCUGGGUUCAGAACGUCGUGAGACAGUUCGGUCCCUAUCCGUCGCGGGCGUAGGAAAUUUGAGAGGAUCUGCUCCUAGUACGAGAGGACCAGAGUGGACUUACCGCUGGUGUACCAGUUGUCUUGCCAAAGGCAUCGCUGGGUAGCUAUGUAGGGAAGGGAUAAACGCUGAAAGCAUCUAAGUGUGAAACCCACCUCAAGAUGAGAUUUCCCAUGAUUAUAUAUCAGUAAGAGCCCUGAGAGAUGAUCAGGUAGAUAGGUUAGAAGUGGAAGUGUGGCGACACAUGUAGCGGACUAAUACUAAUAGCUCGAGGACUUAUCCAA
rnacentral:rRNA from 1 species